GAUUGGGUAGAUGGGCGUCCAGGAUUGCGAACUCGGUCAGGUUCGGAAGGAAGCAGCCGUAGCAAAUAUCGGAUGGGUCAGCUACCCAAUUAAU
rnacentral:SRP_RNA from 1 species